rnacentral:lncRNA from 1 species
AGAGCCAAGUCUAAAUCCAUAUAACCCAAAGUAAAAGAAAUAAUUUCUUUCCAAUCAGAAUAAUUGUCCCCAGUAAGCAUGGGAAUACGAGAAACAUCAUUAAGAAAUGCAGUAGAGGAAGAAGCUGCAAAAACAAAGAAAAUGUUGAACUUUAUCGCCUACUAUAAGAUAAUAAUCAUUAGAUUAGAUAAAUUCUACCUUCCUGUGGGCAGAGGUGCUACACGCAUAGAAUUCAUCUACUUUAAUAAUAAGACUAGCAGAAAACAAAUUUCUAAACAACAAGAUUUCUGUACCUGUGGGCAUAGGAAAACUCGCUAUCUAGAAAUUCAAUCCACUAUCUUAUUCCAGUCAACAUUCAGAAAAUUAAUUUAUUUGACUGCAAUAAAUAGUCAAACUUUAAUUCAAUAUCACUAAUAGCUUAUAUAUUUUUCAUUAUCUAUAGGAUGCUGUGGCUAUUUCUGAGCAUAAUGAAAAAUACAAAUAACUUUAAUUCAAUAUCAGUAAUACUUUAUAUAUUUUUCAUUAUCUAUAGGAUGCUGUGGCUACUCCUGAGCAUAAUGAAAAAUACAAAUAACUUUAAUUCAAUAUCAGCAAUACCUUAUAUAUUUUUCAUUAUCUAUAGGAUGCUGUGGCUACUCCUGAGCAUAAUGAAAAAUACAAAUAACCUUAUUUGACAUUGAAUGACUAUUUAAAAAUAAAUUAGGAAUCCAUAUGAAUUUUCGGGUUAACUUUAAAUCAAUAUCAUCUUAUAAAAAUACCAUAAGUGAUCAAAUAUCAUGACUAGGAUGCUGUGGCUACUCCUAGACAUAAUUAAUCUCACAUUAACCUUUAUAUGAUAUUGAAUGACCGAAAAUUUCACAUUAUUCCAAAACGCAGCGGAAAGAUAAAAGUCCAAAGUAAUUUUCUUUACAACUUUAUGUGACUCAAAAUUUGUAAACUGUAUGAAGUCUAUAUAUUUUACUCUAAAAUUUUCAUGAUCACUUUAUAUAUAUUUAGAGCAAUAAUGCAAAAAUAUACCAUAAAAUAUUAAACUAAACAUACAACCUUAUAUCAUGAAUAAACAAAUGAGUAAAAUAGAAAUUAUAUAUAACAAAUACCAAAAGUUAUAUAUAACUUUAAUAUAUAGACUUCUUCAUAAAUAAGUCACAUUAUAAAGAAAAAUAAAAAAAAA